GACGAACGCUGGCGGCGUGCUUAACACAUGCAAGUCGAACGGUAAGGCCCUUCGGGGUACACGAGUGGCGAACGGGUGAGUAACACGUGGGUGAUCUGCCCUGCACUUCGGGAUAAGCCUGGGAAACUGGGUCUAAUACCGGAUAGGACCACUGCCUGCAUGGGUGGUGGUGGAAAGCUUUUGCGGUGUGGGAUGGGCCCGCGGCCUAUCAGCUUGUUGGUGGGGUGAUGGCCUACCAAGGCGACGACGGGUAGCCGGCCGGAGAGGGUGACCGGCCACAGUGGGACUGGGGUACGGCCCAGACUCCUACGGGAGGCAGCAGUGGGGAAUAUUGCACAAUGGGCGCAAGCCUGAUGCAGCGACGCCGCGUGAGGGAUGACGGCCUUCGGGUUGUAAACCUCUUUCAGCACCGACGAAGCGCAAGUGACGGUAGGUGCAGAAGAAGGACCGGCCAACUACGUGCCAGCCGCCGCCGUAA
rnacentral:rRNA from 1 species